AAGUCUACGUUUAAUACUCCUAAUUAGUAUCUAAAUAUUCGAUGUGACAGGAGCUAAAGUUUAAGGGGAGGAACCAAACGGGACCCUAAUAGUGAGCAGUGACACAUCAUGUAAUUUGGUGACAUAACCGAAAUUUUAAUAGGGAAGAGAAGGAAUCAAUUUCAUCUAAAUGAAACCAGCCUAGCACCAAUAGCAACUCUUAAUUAGUUAUCAAAUUAAAUACCCUGCAUAGUCUAUGAAACAACAAUAUUAAAUAUAUUGUACAGUGGGGGAUAGAUUCAAACACUAUUUCAUUUUCUUCUAGCUCAUGUGAUUAUCUUGAAAACAUCAGUAUGAAACCCGCCACACUCCAAUUAAAUUUGCUCCAAUUUCUUUCAUGCAAGAACUAUUUUUGGUUGAAUUUCUGAACUUAUCGAUGUUUUCUUAGGGGGCGUUUGGUUCCCUUUGCUUAUUUUUAGCAAGUGUCACAUCAAUAUUUAGACACUAAUUAGAGGUAUUAAACGUAGACUAUUUACAAAACCCAUUACAUAAGUGGAGG
rnacentral:lncRNA from 1 species